rnacentral:rRNA from 1 species
GUUGUCCGGAAUCAUUGGGCGUAAAGAGCGUGUAGGCGGCCCGGUAAGUCCGCUGGGAAAGUCCAGGGCUCAACCCUGGGAUGCCGGUGGAUACUGUCGGGCUCGAGUCCGGAAGAGGAGUGUGGAAUUCCUGGUGUAGCGGUGAAAUGCGCAGAUAUCAGGAGGAACACCAAUGGCGAAGGCAGCACUCUGGGACGUGACUGACGCUGAGACGCGAAAGCGUGGGGAGCAAACAGG